AUGCUGUAAUCUUUUAUUAAGUAUGCAUUCAAAGAAAACAUUCUUCAGACGUCAAGAUUAAAUGUGUUUAUUUUGAGUUAGUUAGUGGAUACAAUGGUAUAUUAGAUACCAGCACUCCAAGCUACACCUAUGGAUUUGCCUCUAAACCUUCACACGUUGUCAGUUUCCAUUCCUCUAACAUUCACCACUGGGCCUUCUAUUUCUAGCAAAAUCAUAGUUCAAAUUAAAAAAAAAAAAAA